rnacentral:rRNA from 1 species
UACGUAGGAUGCAAGCGUUGUCCGGAAUUAUUGGGCGUAAAGAGCGCGCAGGCGGUCACUCAAGUCAGAUGUGAAAUAUCCGGGCUUAACCCGGAGGGGUCAUUUGAAACUGAGUAACUAGAGUACAGCAGAGGAUAGCGGAAUUCCUGGUGUAGCGGUGAAAUGCGCAGAUAUCAGGAGGAACACCGGUGGCGAAGGCGGGUCUCUGGGCCGUAACUGACGCUGAGGAGCGAAAGCGUGGGGAGCGAACAGG